UACACUCCUGCGGGAGGCAGCAGUGGGGAAUUUUGGACAAUGGGCGAAAGCCUGAUCCAGCAAUGCCGCGUGAGUGAAGAAGGCCUUCGGGUUGUAAAGCUCUUUUGUCAGGGAAGAAACGGUGAGAGCUAAUAUCUUUUGCUAAUGACGGUACCUGAAGAAUAAGCACCGGCUAACUACGUGCCAGCAGCCGCGGUAAUACGUAGGGUGCAAGCGUUAAUCGGAAUUACUGGGCGUAAAGCGUGCGCAGGCGGUUUUGUAAGUCUGAUGUGAAAUCCCCGGGCUCAACCUGGGAAUUGCAUUGGAGACUGCAAGGCUAGAAUCUGGCAGAGGGGGGUAGAAUUCCACGUGUAGCAGUGAAAUGCGUAGAUAUGUGGAGGAACACCGAUGGCGAAGGCAGCCCCCUGGGUCAAGAUUGACGCUCAUGCACGAAAGCGUGGGGAGCAAACAGGAUUAGAUACCCCUGUAGUCCCAUGA
rnacentral:rRNA from 1 species